UGGGGGAUAUUGCACAAUGGGCGAAAGCCUGAUGCAGCGACGCCGCGUGGGGGAUGACGGCCUUCGGGUUGUAAACUUCUUUUGCUCUGAACAAGGCAUGCUAAUGGGUGUGUUGAUUGUAGGGGUUGAUUAGCGCCGGCUAACUACGUGCCAGCAGCCGCGGUAAUACGUAGGGCGCGAGCGUUGUCCGGAAUUAUUGGGCGUAAAGGGCUUGUAGGUGGCUGGUUGCGUCUGUCGUGAAAGCUCAUGGCUUAACUGUGGGUUUGCGGUGGAUACGGCAUGGCUUGAGGGAAGUAGGGGAGGAUGGAAUUAGUGGUGUAGCGGUGGAAUGCGCAGAUAUCAGGAGGAAUACCGGUGGCGAAGGCGGGUCUCUGGGCUGUUACUGACACUGAGGAGCGAAAGCAUGGGGAGCGAACAGG
rnacentral:rRNA from 1 species